rnacentral:rRNA from 1 species
CCAGCACCCGCGGUAAUUCCAGCUCCAAUAGCGUAUAUUAAAGUUGUUGCAGUUAAAAAGCUCGUAGUCUGAAUCUUGGUUGGUGUUGAGCGUCCGUGGCUUCGGUCACGUGCACGUAACACACUGGCCAUAUCCUUCGGAGGAACAUGGGUGCUUUUCAUUAAGUGCUCAUGGGAUUCCGAUAGUUUACUUUGAGAAAAAUAGAGUGUUCAAAGCAGGCCUACGCUUGAAUACAUUAGCAUGGAAUAAUGGAAUAGGACUUUGGUGCUAUUUCGUUGGUUAAUGGGACCGAAGUAAUGAUUAAAAGGGACAGUUGGGGCCGUUUAUAUUUCGUUGUCAGAGGUGAAAUUCUUGGAUUUACGAAAGAUAAACUUCUGCGAAAGCAUUCGGCAAGGAUGUUUUCAUUGAUCAAG